CGGUCUGGCGGCGAGUGGCGAACGGGUGAGUAAUGUAUCGGAACGUGCCCAGUAGCGGGGGAUAACUACUCGAAAGAGUAGCUAAUACCGCAUACGCCCUACGGGGGAAAGGGGGGGAUCGCAAGACCUCUCACUAUUGGAGCGGCCGAUAUCGGAUUAGCUAGUUGGUGAGGUAAAGGCUCACCAAGGCGACGAUCCGUAGCUGGUUUGAGAGGACGACCAGCCACACUGGGACUGAGACACGGCCCAGACUCCUACGGGAGGCAGCAGUGGGGAAUUUUGGACAAUGGGGGCAACCCUGAUCCAGCCAUCCCGCGUGCGCGAUGAAGGCCUUCGGGUUGUAAAGCACUUUUGGCAGGAAAGAAAUCGCAUGGAUUAAUACUCUGUGUGGAUGACGGUACCUGCAGAAUAAGCACCGGCUAACUACGUGCCAGCAGCCGCGGUAAUACGUAGGGUGCAAGCGUUAAUCGGAAUUACUGUGCGUAAAGCGUGCGCAGGCGGUUCGGAAAGAAAGAUGUGAAAUCCCAGGGCUUAACCUUGGAACUGCAUUUUUAACUCCCGAGCUAGAGUGCGUCAGAGGGGGGUGGAAUUCCGCGUGUAGCAGUGAAAUGCGUAGAUAUGCGGAGGAACACCGAUGGCGAAGGCAGCCCCCUGGGAUGACACUGACGCUCAUGCACGAAAGCGUGGGGAGCAAACAGGA
rnacentral:rRNA from 1 species